AGUCAUUAAAUGCUUGGGAAGUGAAUUCACCAGCAUUAUCUAAACGUAUGGUCUUAAGAGGAAAAUCUGGAAAAUAGGCUCGCAAUCUGAUGAUUUGGGCCAAUAACCUAACAAACGCUUGGUUCCUAGAAGACAAACAUGCGACCAGCGGGUCGAUGCAUCGAUUAAAACCAUGAAGUACCGAAAUGUUCCACAAGGUGGAUGGAUCGGACCACAUAUGUCUCCUUGAAUUCGUUCCAGAAAAUGUAAGGUCUCUUUAGACACUUUGACUGGUGAAGGUCGAGUGAUAAGCUUCCCUUGUGAACAGG
rnacentral:lncRNA from 1 species